AGUUGAUGAUGUGGGCAUGUGUGCAAAAGGUCCCUAAAGCACUCCCAAGUAUUAAAAAAUUGCUUACCAUCUAUCUGUGAGAAACUAGUGACAGCUCUUCUAAGCU